rnacentral:rRNA from 1 species
CCCUUAGAUGUUCUGGGCUGCACGCGCGCUACACUGAUGCAUCCAGCGAGUUGUAACCUUGCUUGGUAAAGUUUGGUAAUCUGAGCCUAAUGUGCAUCGUGAUGGGAAUAGAGUUUUGCAACUAUUAGUCUUGAACGAGGAAUUCCUCGUAAGCACGAGUCAUCAGCUUGUGCUGAUUACGUCCCUGCCCUUUGUACACACCGCCCGUCGCUCCUACCGAUUGAAUGGUCCGGUGAAGCGUUCGGACCGUGGCCUUUGGACGGUUCGCCGUCUGUUGGCUGCGGGAAGUUCGUUAAACCUUAUCAUUUAGAGGAAGGAGAAGUCGUAACA